GAUCCCUCCUCUGGAAUUUUGUAGUGAGCCCAGAUUGAGGGCAAAUUCUCCCCACUCCCUGCAACACCAUGUGAUCAGCAAAGGAAGCUGCAAAGCUGGAAAUGAAACAGCCCAUCUGCACCUCAAUCACAGCAACAGCUGACGUGUGGAAUCAAACUCUGUAACUCAAAGAACUGCUCAGCCCUCUUCUGGAACUGGGAACUGAAACUGUCAGCAGCAUAGCUGAAAUGCUUGUCAGAGGAAAAGAAGAGAGCAGUCCUGCCUUUCAAUCACUCCAGUUUUCUGUUUCUGUUUUUUUUAUAUUACCCGUUUAAUUUUUGGAGCAGUCUUUCCAAAACCACCCACACCCAAACACUGCACAAGAAGUUCAUGUAGAGAUUGUCCAUUUGAACUGUAAGGCGUCACCCAGAUUAGAAGGAUUCAGCUGUGAGUUGCUAACCCAAUGCAUCUGAAAAGUAGAUAAGAGGCAUUAAAAUCAUCAAAAAUC